UAAUAUAUUUGUCUGUAUAAUAUUUUGUGAAUUGGUUUAGGACACAGUGGUGUCUUUUUUUUAAGCAAGUAUCCAUUGAGAGGGGUCAGAGGAUUAGCUCAAGCUCCAACAUAUCUAGCUGCUACCUUGCUUAACAUAGCUGCUACCUCAAUCGCUUUAUUUUUUUGUGUUUUCCCCCCUGUGGCAUUUAUUCUGUGCACAUGAACACGUUUUCAGAAUUGCUAUGUGUAACUCAGACGGUUACUCUUGUGUGUUUUGCUGCUAGUUGUGCGAACGAGCCAGACAAACCAGCUGGGAGGAGGACGGAAGCACCCCUUCUCCAUCCGCGUUCAGUUGCUAAAUACGGAUCCACCCCGUAGUCAACAGCCGACAGAGUCCUUCCACAACCACAUACUUAUGCCAGUAAAAGCCACAGCUUUUCUCCUCCAAUCCAAGAAGCCUGGACUGCAGUCACCAUCUCAACACACCAACCAAGAGAAAGGCGGAUGGCUCAAUUCAAUAUGGAAAAUUGCACAAUAAAAGUUCCAGGACAAGAAGGCUGCAUACUGUGAACGUCAACCUUCAGGGCACCGUCCUGCGCAGAAGACUUUCUACCCUAAGAGGGAUGGCUGACCGCAGACACUCACAACCAGCAUAGACGCCUCCAACCUCAAACUAGGCCCUUCACAGUUGCUGCACUUACCCACCUUCCCAGAGUUUUUGUGUGGUAAUGACAACUGUAAAUAUAGUAUAAAGUAAUGUAUCUAGUGUCAUGUGUAAUACAUUGUUUAAAUUGUCCAUUGUCCAUUGCUUCCAUUUCAAUGACAGUAAAUAUUGGUGGACACAAUUUGACUGUGUGGCUUUUUUUAAUUCAUUCUCUGACUGAAAAUGCAUGGUUACAUAAUUUAUAUAUUCCA